AUAACUUGGAUUUUGAAAUACUUGCCAUUUUGUUUUAUGGUCUAAAAGAUAGGGGAUAAAACCCAAUCAUGGACAGAUACAACAAUUCAGGGUGGUUAAGUGGUGAUUAAGGAGUUGUAAUAACCAGGAAGGACUCAAGUUCAGACCUGCAUCCACCUCUGGAAGCUCUGGCUGUGGUGAGUGGGCGAUAGAUGGGCUUCAUCCCUGUCCACUGCCCUCUGCUCGGCCACAGACCUUCAGUAGUAUAUUGAGAGUUAAUUAAAUGGUGAGCAGAGAUGAACUGGGAUGGCGUCACCUGGUUGCCGUGUGUGCCGGUGUGUGUGAGCACACAUCUAUGAAAGACAGACUGGGGUAAGACAGCAUGUGGGAGAACAGGUAGAGAGAGGUGUCCCACCCACCCUCAGCCACUGACGUCUUUGGGAACAGUGACUUUGGCGCAUCUAAUUUUUGUGUACUUUUUAC
rnacentral:lncRNA from 1 species